CUACGGGUGGCUGCAGUAGGGAAUCUUGCGCAAUGGGCGAAAGCCUGACGCAGCCAUGCCGCGUGAAUGAUGAAGGUCUUAGGAUUGUAAAAUUCUUUCACCGGGGAAGAUAAUGACGGUACCCGGAGAAGAAGCCCCGGCUAACUUCGUGCCAGCAGCCGCGGUAAUACGAAGGGGGCUAGCGUUGCUCGGAAUUACUGGGCGUAAAGGGCGCGUAGGCGGACAGUUUAGUCAGAGGUGAAAGCCCAGGGCUCAACCUUGGAAUUGCCUUUGAUACUGGCUGUCUUGAGUUCGGGAGAGGUGAGUGGAAUGCCGAGUGUAGAGGUGAAAUUCGUAGAUAUUCGGCGGAACACCAGUGGCGAAGGCGACUCACUGGCCCGAUACUGACGCUGAGGCGCGAAAGCGUGGGGAGCAAACAGGAUUAGAUACCCUUGUAGUC
rnacentral:rRNA from 1 species